rnacentral:rRNA from 1 species
AUGGAAAUCUUAACACAGAUCCGACAACGAAGCAUCGUCAAAAUGUAUGGAUUCUGCUCCCAUCCAACAUAUAAAUUUCUCGUCUACGACUACAUUCAGCAGGGAAGCCUCCACGGAAUAUUGGAAAAUCAGGAGCUAGCAAAGGAAUUUGAUUGGAAGAAGAGAAUUGCUCUUGCAACUGAUGUGGCUCAAGCAAUAUCUUAUUUGCACCACGAAUGCAGUCCACCUAUAAUCCAUCGAGAUAUCACAAGCAACAACAUCUUACUUGAUACAUCCUUCAAGGCUUUUGUCUCGGAUUUUGGCACGGCAAGGAUUCUUAAACCCGAUUCAUCAAACUGGAGUGCACUAGCAGGAACAUAUGGCUACAUAGCUCCUGAACUGUCGUACACAUCUGUUGUGACAGAGAAAUGUGAUGUCUAUAGCUUUGGCGUGGUGGUGCUAGAGCUAGUGAUAGGGAAGCAUCCAAGGGAUCUAUUAGACGGUAGUUUGUCAAGCGGGAAACAAGCUAUACUUGUGAAAGAUAUUCUGGACCAACGGUCGACAACACCAACAACAACAGAAGAGAAGAGCUUAGCUCUGCUCAUCAAGCUGGCCUUCUCUUGCUUGGAAUCUUCUCCACAAGCAAGGCCAACCAUUGAAAGAUAA